UACGUAGGGUGCAAGCGUUAAUCGGAAUUACUGGGCGUAAAGCGUGCGCAGGCGGUUGUGCAAGACAGGCGUGAAAUCCCCGGGCUCAACCUGGGAACUGCGCUUGUGACUGGCAGGCUAGAGUACGGCAGAGGGGGGUGGAAUUCCACGUGUAGCAGUGAAAUGCGUAGAGAUGUGGAGGAACACCAAUGGCGAAGGCAGCCCCCUGGGUCGAUACUGACGCUCAUGCACGAAAGCGUGGGUAGCAAACAGG
rnacentral:rRNA from 1 species